AAUAACAUGAGUAAUGAAUAGGUACUUAUUGGCACUUCUCCAGAGGAACUAGUCUUUAAAGUAAUACUUAAUGCACUGAAGUUAAUGUGAAUAAUUUAUACAUUACGUGAUACUUCUACAAUUUUUAUUCUACUAUGGAGGGACAGUUAAGCACCCAAAAGGUGCGGGAUGGUACCGUGGUAACCCAACAAUAGCCAGACAUCGAUUUCAUUCUUAGCUGACACAUUUCCUUAAGCCAUCAGGUUUAAAAAGGAACGUCUGGAUUCAGAUACAGAAAGUAACAUGGUAGACAUGUACAUAUUUAAAGCAAGUGGAAACCUUUAAAAGAACGAACAACCAAACUAAGAAUUAUGUGCACAUCAUAGGAUAUUGACGUCAAUGGAAACAAAAUGUUUAUACUAGUUGGUCGCAGGGAUAUUGAUGAAAAAGUUAAAAGACAUUCAGUGAUAGGGAUGAAGUGGAGGCCUUAUCGAUAAACAAAGAGUCCUCAGUUCAGGAAAUGGUACAGCCCUGAGAGUAUUUUGAAAGUUAAGAAAGGUGAAAUGUAUAAAGUGAGAUUUCAUGAAGAUGUUCCUAGUAAGUCCGGAAUAUGGCUCGUAUUCGAAGAAAAAAUGUGAUUGUUUGUAAAAGCAGUUUACAUGAAAUAUAGUUUGAGCUUUUAAUCAAAAUGUUGUUCUUUCUUUAUAUUCAACGGAUGUUUUUUUGUAGUGCAAGUUAGCAUAACCUUAAAAAGAGAUGCAGGUAAACCUGUGUUAAAGACCACCUCUGAACAGAGGCCACCUGACUGUAAAGACCACAUGUUUUUUUUCCAGUUUUAACAUUUAUUUAGCCUGUGACUACCUCCAAAUAAAGACCACAUUUUGGCUCUACCUAGUCUUGUCUUUAUAGACAGGUUUGAAAGUAUAUGUAAAAGUACACUCGAAGUUUUAUCUAGCAUUAGUGCAGUGACUGACCCAUAAAUUUUGGUCUGUCCGUUUGUCUCUCUGUAUGUCACAAAGUUUAAAUGUGCAUAUCAUGUGAAACAGCAAUGCGGAUUCACACCAGUUCAUUGUUUUGUGAUCAGAGUUUUAUAAUACUUUAUAUUCUAAUGGGCCCGCUUUUACCAAACUUUACAUGACUGGCCAGUGCCUAUAAUUUUCAUUGGAGUUAUGGCCCUUAAUUUGUCAUAUCUUACCCCGUAUUGGCAAGCUCAUUUUAAGCGAUAUCUAUAUACUAGCACGUGUUUAUACCAAGCUGCGAAAUCUCUAUAUUCAUGUAGUUAUC